AUUGAACGCUGGCGGCAGGCCUAACACAUGCAAGUCGAACGGUAACAGGAAGCAGCUUGCUGCUUCGCUGACGAGUGGCGGACGGGUGAGUAAUGUCUGGGAAACUGCCUGAUGGAGGGGGAUAACUACUGGAAACGGUAGCUAAUACCGCAUAACGUCGCAAGACCAAAGAGGGGGACCUUCGGGCCUCUUGCCAUCGGAUGUGCCCAGAUGGGAUUAGCUAGUAGGUGGGGUAACGGCUAACCUAGGCGACGAUCCCUAGCUGGUCUGGGAGGAUGACCAGCCACACUGGAACUUAGACACGGUCCAGACUCCUACGGGAGGCAGCAGUGGGGAAGAUUGCACAAUGGGCGCAGGCAUGAUGCAGCCAUGCCGCGUGUAUGAAGAAGGCCUUCGGGUUGUAAAGUACUUUCAGCGGGGAGGAAGGCGAUAAGGUUAAUAACCUUGUCGAUUGACGUUACCCGCAGAAGAAGCACCGGCUAACUCCGUGCCAGCAGCCGCAGUAA
rnacentral:rRNA from 1 species